UACGUAGGGACCGAGCGUUGUCCGGAUUCAUUGGGCGUAAAGAGCUCGUAGGCGGCCACUCAAGUCGAAUGUGAAACCUCGAGGCUUAACCUCGAGCCUGCAUUCGAUACUGGGCGGCUAGAGUCUGGUAGGGGGAUCUGGAAUUCCUGGUGUAGCGGUGGAAUGCGCAGAUAUCAGGAGGAACACCGGUGGUGAAGGCGGGAUCCUGGGCCAGUACUGACGCUGAGGAGCGAAAGCGUGGGGAGCAAACAGG
rnacentral:rRNA from 1 species